UGAGGUAUAGCUCAGUGGUAGAGUGCUGACCUAGCACAUGCCUACCCCUAGGUUCAAUUCCCAGUACUGCAA
rnacentral:tRNA from 1 species